rnacentral:rRNA from 1 species
UACGUAGGGUGCGAGCGUUAAUCGGAAUUACUGGGCGUAAAGGGUGCGUAGGUGGUUAGGUAAGUUAAGUGUGAAAGCCCCGGGCUCAACCUGGGAAUGCCGCUUAAUACUGCCUAACUAGAGUAUUGUAGAGGAAAGUGGAAUUUCCGGUGUAGCGGUGAAAUGCGUAGAUAUCGAGGAGGAACACCGGUGGCGAAGGCGGGUCUCUGGGCCGUAACUGACGCUGAGGAGCGAAAGCGUGGGGAGCGAACAGG